UACGUAGGGUGCAAGCGUUAAUCGGAAUUACUGGGCGUAAAGCGUGCGCAGGCGGCUUUGCAAGACAGAUGUGAAAUCCCCGGGCUCAACCUGGGAACUGCAUUUGUGACUGCAUAGCUGGAGUACGGUAGAGGGGGAUGGAAUUCCGCGUGUAGCAGUGAAAUGCGUAGAUAUGCGGAGGAACACCGAUGGCGAAGGCAAUCCCCUGGACCUGUACUGACGCUCAUGCACGAAAGCGUGGGGAGCAAACAGG
rnacentral:rRNA from 1 species